rnacentral:rRNA from 1 species
UGGNAGCUUGCUCCCUGAUGUUAGCGGCGGACGGGUGAGUAACACGUGGGUAACCUGCCUGUAAGACUGGGAUAACUCCGGGAAACCGGGGCUAAUACCGGAUGCUUGUUUGAACCGCAUGGUUCAAACAUAAAAGGUGGCUUCGGCUACCACUUACAGAUGGACCCGCGGCGCAUUAGCUANUUGGUGAGGUAACGGCUCACCAAGGCAACGAUGCNNANCCGACCUGANAGGGUGAUCGGCCACACUGGGACUGANACACGGCCCAUACUCCUACGGGAGGCAGCAGNANGGAAUCUUCCGCAAUGGACGAAAGUCUGACGGANCAACGCCGCGUGAGUGAUGAAGGNNUUCGGAUCGUAAAGCUCNGUUGUUANGGAAGAACAAGUACCGUNCNAAU